rnacentral:lncRNA from 1 species
GUGGAGUCAAUGUCAUUGCCGCUGUGGUUUCUAUUUACUAUGUUGAUAAAUUGGGAAUGAGACUCUUGUUUCUUGAAGGGGGAGUUCAAAUGCUCUUUUGCCAAGUAACUUCAUUUCAUCUUCUUGGACUUUUUCAUCGUGAAAUUUUCAUAUGUGCUAUUACAUGACCCGUUUUAUUUGACAUAUCAUAAGAAAGAAUUCUACUUAAAAUGAUUCUAUUUCAUCGUAGUUAGCCAAACAUAUUAUGAUCCAUAAGAAUAACUGAAAUCUUGAUACUAUGUAUAUAGUUGAGUAAAAACUAUGAGGUAUUUUCAGGACACCAUUAAUUUGUGUCUGAAAUACCAACAUUGAUUGAUGAAUCGAACCUAGAAAUCUCAAGCUCAAGUUGAUGUGGAAUUUACGGCAAAUAAAUAAAUAAAUAGAAGAAGCAAGUUAUGUUACAAUUGUUGUUUGGUUAAAGGUUGUACCUUUACCUUCUAUAUUUGUACUCAUCUUGAUCAAAUACUACUUUAUUAACUCAAUUAACUUAUCCAAACUCAUAAAAAGAAGGAAUUUUAGCUUAGAACUAAAUUAUAAGAACUGAAUAUGAAAGAAGAGAAGCUUGGUAGAGCUUGCUCCAAUCCAGUUUCAGAGAUGCAGGAGUCCAAGGCAACUGUCGGGCCAUUUGAGUGCACACAAGAUGCAUUGGACAAGAUGCCAUUUGAGUGCAUACAAACUAAUAAGGGUGGAACAACACUUUUGAAGUACUACUGAUGAAUUUAUUCAGGCUAAUAGGUUUUUUUGUUUCAAGUUUGAAUGAUGAAUGAUAGACACAAGUGAUAAAUCUAUUCAUUUUUCUAGGAGCAAAAUGUAGACAAAACACAUUGUUUGUGCUCCUUUUUUUUUUGGUGAAUUUCAAAGUUAAUUUUCACUUAGAUGUAUACAAAUGGUAGUGAUGGGGCUACUGGUUCUUACCUAUGAAGCUAUGGUUGCAAUGAAUUUUAUGGGAAGAGUUAGGCACGUGUAAUUUUGAAGAUUAUUGCCUUACCUUAAAAAGAAUGCAUGUGCUUUUAUAUAUUUUUUAUGUGUGAUUUUAGACAUCUAUCAUAGCAAACAUACAAGGAACUAAAAGUCAAGUCCUGAC